rnacentral:rRNA from 1 species
GAACUGAAGAGUUUGAUCAUGGCUCAGAUUGAACGCUGGCGGCAGGCCUAACACAUGCAAGUCGAGCGGAUGAAGGGAGCUUGCUCCUGGAUUCAGCGGCGGACGGGUGAGUAAUGCCUAGGAAUCUGCCUGGUAGUGGGGGAUAACGUCCGGAAACGGGCGCUAAUACCGCAUACGUCCUGAGGGAGAAAGUGGGGGAUCUUCGGACCUCACGCUAUCAGAUGAGCCUAGGUCGGAUUAGCUAGUUGGUGGGGUAAAGGCCUACCAAGGCGACGAUCCGUAACUGGUCUGAGAGGAUGAUCAGUCACACUGGAACUGAGACACGGUCCAGACUCCUACGGGAGGCAGCAGUGGGGAAUAUUGGACAAUGGGCGAAAGCCUGAUCCAGCCAUGCCGCGUGUGUGAAGAAGGUCUUCGGAUUGUAAAGCACUUUAAGUUGGGAGGAAGGGCAGUAAGUUAAUACCUUGCUGUUUUGACGUUACCAACAGAAUAAGCACCGGCUAACUUCGUGCCAGCAGCCGCGGUAAUACGAAGGGUGCAAGCGUUAAUCGGAAUUACUGGGCGUAAAGCGCGCGUAGGUGGUUCAGCAAGUUGGAUGUGAAAUCCCCGGGCUCAACCUGGGAACUGCAUCCAAAACUACUGAGCUAGAGUACGGUAGAGGGUGGUGGAAUUUCCUGUGUAGCGGUGAAAU